rnacentral:rRNA from 1 species
GCUUAGCCUUAAACCCAAAUAUUUUAUCAACAAAACUAUUCGCCAGAGAACUACUAGCAAUCGCUUAAAACUCAAAGGACUUGGCGGUGCCCUAAUCCCAUCUAGAGGAGCCUGUUCUAUAAUCGAUAAACCCCGAUAUACCUUACCUCUUUUUGCCAAUACAGCUUAUAUACCGCCAUCGUCAGCUCACCCCAAUAGGGUAUUAAAGUAAGCAAGAUUAUUCAUCAUAAAAACGUUAGGUCAAGGUGUAGCAUAUGAAGAGGAAAGCAAUGGGCUACAUUUUCUAUAAUAGAAAAUUAACGAAAUAUCUUAUGAAACUAAGAUAUACUGAAGGAGGAUUUAGCAGUAAAUUAAGAAUAGAGAGCUUAAUUGAAACAGGCAAUAGGGCGCGC